UACGUAGGGGGCUAGCGUUGUCCGGAAUCAUUGGGCGUAAAGCGCGUGUAGGCGGUCCGGUAAGUCCGCUGUGAAAGUCGGGGGGCUCAACCCUCGGAUGCCGGUGGAUACUGCAGGGCUAGAGUCCGGAAGAGGCGAGUGGAAUUCCUGGUGUAGCGGUGAAAUGCGCAGAUAUCAGGAGGAACACCGGUGGCGAAGGCGGGUCUCUGGGCCGUAACUGACGCUGAGGAGCGAAAGCAUGGGGAGCGAACAGG
rnacentral:rRNA from 1 species